UACAGAGGGGGCAAGCGUUGUUCGGAAUUACUGGGCGUAAAGGGCGCGUAGGUGGCCUUCUAAGUUGAACGUGAAAUCCCUGGGCUCAACCCAGGAACUGCGUCCAAGACUGGGAGGCUUGAAUCCGGGAGAGGGAUGUGGAAUUCCCAGUGUAGAGGUGAAAUUCGUAGAUAUUGGGAAGAACACCGGUGGCGAAGGCGGCCACCUGGCUCGGUACUGACGCUGAGGCGCGACAGCAUGGGGAGCAAACAGG
rnacentral:rRNA from 1 species